rnacentral:rRNA from 1 species
CAGCAGCCGCGGUAAUACGGAGGGUGCAAGCGUUAAUCGGAAUUACUGGGCGUAAAGCGCACGCAGGCGGUUUGUUAAGUCAGAUGUGAAAUCCCCGAGCUUAACUUGGGAACUGCAUUUGAAACUGGCAAGCUAGAGUCUUGUAGAGGGGGGUAGAAUUCCAGGUGUAGCGGUGAAAUGCGUAGAGAUCUGGAGGAAUACCGGUGGCGGAGGCGGCCCCCUGGACAAAGACUGACGCUCAGGUGCGAAAGCGUGGGGAGCAAACAGGAUUAGAUACCCGAGUAGUCCCUGUCUCUUAUAC